GACGAACGCUGGCGGCGUGCUUAACACAUGCAAGUCGAACGGAAAGGCCCUGCUUGCGGGGUACUCUAGUGGCGAAAGGGUGUGUAACACGUGGGUGUUAUCCGCUGCACUUCUUGGUAUGACUUCGAAACUGUGUCUAAUACCGCAUAGGAGCCCUUCUUCGUGAUGGUGGUGGAUGGAUUUUUCGGUGUAGGGUGAGCGCGCGGGCUGUCUGCUUGUUUGUGGGGUGAUGGCCUACCAAGGCGGCGACGGGUAGCCGGCCUGGGAGGGUGGACGGCCAAAUUGGGGCUGGGAUACGGCCCAGACUCCUACGGGGGGCAGGAGGGGGGAAUAUUGCACAAUGGGGGUAAGCCUGAUGCAAGGACGCCGGGUGGGGGAUGACGGGCUUCGGGUUGUAAACUCCUUUCGCUAGGGAAGAAGCUGUUUGUGACGGUACCGAGAUAAGAAGCACCGGCUAACUACGUG
rnacentral:rRNA from 1 species